CAAGGCCCAGCUGGUGAGACCGGAUCACCUGGUUCCAUGGGUCCUUCUGGUCCCUUGGGCCCUCCUGGAACACAAGGCAAAGAUGGUGCACCCGGCAGAGAAGGGAGA